ensembl:lncRNA
ACAAUUAAUACUGACAGACUAAUAAACAUCGUCCUGAAGGAGCUUUACAGAAAUCCAGGUAUAGAUUUUUGAUCCCUAAUGAACAAUCCAGAGGUAGCUGUGAAGAGAAGAAAUACUGCAGAAGCUUUAACUCAGAAGUGAAUCCAUCCUCAUCUGGGUGACACUGGAUAGUGCAAAUAUAAUCAUUCCAGUAUACAGGUGUAGAAGAGUAAAGAGGAACAGUACUGAGUGUGUGUACAGGAUGUUUUUUUUAGGAGAUUCAGAUUAUGAAUAAAAGUCCUGCAAUGAGCAACAAUGUGGACAGUGUUCAUGAGUACAGCAACAACUCUUAGGGACAAGUCACAGGGUACAGUAGGUUUAUCUCAACUGUAGAACAUCUACUCUAAUGACAAGGGAUUUCCCCAAUAUUUAAUGAACGUUACAAACAUAAUGUAAGGAAAUAUCAUUUAAGUACAACAACAGAAACUUUGUUCAUGUGGUUCUUUGUUCACAUUUCUACAGCAUUAGGAAGAUGUCCUUUGUACCAUUUAUGCUGCGUGAAGACUACACGAUAUGCCACUAAAACCACAAGAUACGAUACAAUACAAUUUACAAUUCAUAAUUUGUUAUUUGACAAUACUGACUCUGCUAAGUUAUGAUACAAUAUGAUACCAUACGUUAUGAUACUAUACAAUACAAUAUAAUCUAAUAAAAUACAACAUUAAAUUAUACAAUACAAUAUGAUACAAUGCGAUACCAUAAUAUACGAUACAAUAUGAUACGAUACAAUACAAUAUGAUACAAUACGUUACAAUACAAUACGAUACAAUAUGAUGCAAUACAAUAAAAUACGAUACAAUACGUUUUGAUACAAUACGAUACAAUAUGAUACAAUACAAUACGAUACGUUAUGAUACAAUACGUUUUGAUACAAUACGUUACGUUAUGAUACAAUACGUUUUGAUACAAUACGAUACAAUAUGAUACGAUACGUUAUGAUACAGUACAACACAAUAUGUUAUGAAACAAUGCAAAUUGAUACAAUGUGAAAAUAUGAUACUAUACUAUAUAAUACAAUAUGCUAUGACACAAUACAAUAUCAUAAUUCAUGAUACAAUACGAUAAGUCACAAUAUGAUGUGAUACGAUACAAUUUAAUUUGUGCAGCGUGUUUAACAGUGGACGUUGUCCCAGAGCAGCGGUACGGAAAUAUUUACACUCAGGAUAGAGAUGUUAAAUGUAUGAAUUUAUCCCUAAUGAGCAGCCAGAGGCGACGGUGGUGAGGAAAAACUCCCCGAGACGAUAUGAGGAAGAAACCUCGAGAGGAACCGGACUCAGAAGAGAACCCGUCCUCAUCUGGGUGACACCGGAUAGUGCGAUUAUAAAUAAAUACACCCCUUCUGUAAAUGUGCUAAUACUACAUGCUGAUAUAGUGCAGUUGUGUAAGCAGGAACUUCAUUACAGUUUCUACAGGAAGUCUGUUUUGAACUUCUCCACUGAUCACUGAUGGAGACUCGAGUGCAGAACUGUUUGUAGUAACUGUAAAGCCAUCUUUAUGGUUUUUAAGUGGUACCGUCCUCACUAAUUUCAAUGAUCAUUAGUCUGCACCAUGUGGGGACAUCCUCAUCAGCAGCAUGUGACUUCCAACUGAUGAGAACUCCAAACAGAAGGAGGUCAUCAGGAUUGGGCAGAAGGGGUUAAGUCACUGGUACAGUGUGAUACUAUACAGUAGAAUACGGUCUGAUGAGAUACAAUAUGGUUUAAUAUCUGCUGAUACUAAAGUAGGCUUUAGUAAGUAGGCUUACCAUCGUGAAUGAUGAUGAUGUAGAGAAGGAAAAUUAUAAAUGUAUCAGAGUGCUGGCCUGUUCAAUUAUUUACACAGCAGUUGUCUUUCCUUUUUUUCGAUAAUAAUUGAUUUACGAUAGUUGCAUCGAGUCAUUUACAUGACAGGAGACGACUCUCCGUCAUGGAGCUGCUCACAUGACACAAUUUAUCUCUGGGAAAUAUCAGACAAUCUGCGACCGCUCAGAGAAAAUCACAUCACUGAUACUGAUACUGAUCAGAAGGUCAGGGGUUCCAGCCGCAGCACCGCCAAAUUGCCACAGCCCUUAACCGUCUCUGCUCCAGGGUGCUGUGUCAUGGCUGACUCUGACCUCUGACCCCGAAUUCCUAACAAGCCGAGAUACGUGAAGGAAAGAAUUUGACUGUGCCGCAAUGUAUACGUGACACAUAAAGACUUUCUUUUUCUCCAUGUUAAGCUCUGUUCUGUUACCACACAAUUUGCCACUGAUCCCCAAAAAUGAAUCAUAAAAUAACCCUAAUGUUCUAGAUCAUUCUACACUUCCUUACACUAGUUCCUCAUAUCCAGAACACAGUUAACAGUGUGCACUGCAGCGACACAUACUCCUGUGUCUCUUUAUAAAUUCACGCUGACUAACAAAGUGUGAAGGUGUAAAUGUCAGAUUUAUGCUCCAUCAGCCAUGAUAAAGACCACGAGUGUGUGUGUGUGUGUGUGUGUGUGUGUGUGUGUGCGUGUGCGUGUGCGUGCGUGUCUUGGUGUGGGAAAGAAGCAGCUAAAUCUUGCUGUUCCCACAGGAAGUCUCCAACCUCACUACCUGUCAGAGCUCACAAUGCCGUCUUGUGUCUGCUGUGACAGAGUGACGUCUGAUAGACAGGAACAUGACACACUCAGGGAACUUCUCUCCUGUGGCUCGGACUAAUCCCAGCUUCUGCUCCGUCAGUGUUUAUCGUUUUAAGAAUGGAUGAAUCUCCAUAUUACCUCGUGCUCGCUUUGAAGAAUGUUUGUGAGAAAUGUUAGCGAGCCUGUUUUCGGCAAGAACCGAUUUCUGGUUAGUGCUGAUUGAUGACGCAAUUAGAAUGUAGCCACACACACACACACACAAACACACACACACACACACACACACACACACACAC